rnacentral:rRNA from 1 species
AUACGGAGGGUGCAAGCGUUACUCGGAAUCACUGGGCGUAAAGGAUGCGUAGGCGGAUAAUCAAGUCAAAAGUGAAAUCCUACAGCUUAACUGUAGAACUGCUUUCGAAACUGGUUAUCUAGAAUAUGGAAGAGGCAGAUGGAAUUAGUGGUGUAGGGGUAAAAUCCGUAGAGAUCACUAGGAAUACCGAUUGCGAAGGCGAUCUGCUGGGACAUUAUUGACGCUGAGGCAUGAAAGCGUGGGGAGCAAACAGGAUUAGAUACCCUAGUAGUCC